CCUUGACGCCUCCCGGCCGCCGUAGGCGGAGGUUGGGGGCCGGUGGCCCCGGGCGCCCACUUGGGUGCCCCCAGCCCCGCGGGGCCGUGGGCCUGAGGACGCUCGGCGGGCACAGGCCUGGUCAUUCGUUCGUCCAUUCAUUCACUCACGCCUUGAGCUGACUCAGGAAUAGAGAUGGGUUGUCUGUGGAUCCUAGAACAAGUUCUGGAGAUGGUGAACAGACGGCCAAGCAGAAUUGCCAUAAUCCUCGAUAGCAAGAGGCAGCUUACCUUGUGGAAACUUGGGCCUCUCUUCUGACGACUGUAGGGAUUAAGAGAACAAGGGCGCUCAUUUGAGAACCCUGACUUCAGAAUGCAGGUGAACUCAGAUUUCUACAAAUUGGCCUGGCAAACUGUGACUCCGUCCCCUCUCCCCGAGGUGGACAGUGCCCCCCAGUGGAAAUGAAGGCCCUGUGGUUUUGGCUGUGCGAUUUUGCGGAGCGAGCUGACUUUUUAGGAAUGCGUAUGUUGUGUUACAUCAGAACUGACGGUACUUAGAUGCUGGCAACUCUGAACUAAUGACUCAGUUUGGAUUUCAGAGAAGAAUGGCAUGGGGGACAGUCCCCUCUAGGGGACAGGCAAGCCCCUGCCCAUCAUGUGACAACCCACCUGCCCCCACAGAUUUCCAGCACGCCCUCUGGUGAACCACUGGCCCAUUUCCACGCACUGAAGAUAAGCUAUAACUAUGCUGAUUGGAAGAAAUACAGCAAGAUGAGUGCUGUCCGCUGGAUGUGAGUACAUUCGUGACUUCAGACUUUCCGGUAGCCGCAUUUAAAAACAAGGUGCUAACAGGUAAUGCCUGGAUGUGACAGAGAUCGUGAGAGUCGAAUCUUUGGAAGCACCAAUCUGCUCUGAUCUCCUCCAACAAGAGGAAACGGAGGUUCUGGAAAGGGAGAAAGUUUGUCUGAGGCUACUCAGUGCGUGGAACCAGGACUAGGGGCAGGUCAUGAUUGCCCAGAUUCUCCGAGCUCUUUCAUUCGGUUUCCAAGGACCCCUUCUUGGCCACUGGAAGUUCACCUGGAGAUCGGAUACCAUGAUCAAGUCCUCAGAAGGUGCCUUGAGGAUGAAUUUUCAAAAGCACAAGAAGCUGGACAAAAGCCUAUUCUACCCACACGGUGAAUUACCUGAACGAAUCUAAGAGCCUCAUUUUCAAAGACAAAAAUUGGUCGUUUACUGGAUCUAGAACAACCGAAACUUCGCUGGAUAACAAGGCUCUGCAGUCUCCUGUGGGAAGAUCUGCACGGACCCAGCAUCCUUGCUACAGAACCCUGGGACUGCAGGCUUUUGUCAAGAGAUGAUCCGUUAGUCGCCAUCAAGACCCAAAUAGACCGGUCGCCAAUGAGAACGUCGGUCUUCCACAAGCCCGCCUCCACAGAACUGCAGGCCUUGUCGGGCCUCAUCUAGCCUCCUCAUGGGAACAAGUUCUGAUGUUCGGACCUGACCUUGACGAGCGUGCACCUUGUCAUUCUCCUGGAGAAGACGGGGAAACUGAAGAUUAGAGACGCUCAAUGUAACCUGCCCAAGACCACAGAUGUGGCUCCGUUCCAGGGACUUUAAGUAUCUUAACAUUUGACUCUCGCACCCGCGCUUAAUUCGCUACCAUGUUCCCCAUUUGACAGAGGCAUAGAAAAGACAAAGGACACACAUGAGGGGUGCAGGAGAAGGAGUUAAGGAGCCCGCCAACAAGAGGGACGCGAGGAUGGACAGAUCAAAGAAGAUAGCCUCAGGAGGCAAACAUCCGAAAUACGGGUUAUCGUGAUGAUAAAAACAGAUCCCUCCAAUAUAGAGCAAGUCCACGCUUUCCAGAAGAGCCACUGGGUGAUGUCCAGCAGCAGGAAAGAGACCACUGUCACGAGCUGUGGAAGCCAGGCCGAACGGAUCGCGGUCACCCAGAACUGUGAGAGCCUCCAGUUCUGGAGGUCAGAAUUCCAACAUGCUUCUUACUGGGCUGAAGUCAAGUUGGGAGCAGGGCUGUAUUCCUUCUGGAGGCUCCAGGGAAGAAUCUGUUUCCUCGUCCUCUCCAGCUUCUAGAGGCUGCCCACAUGCUCUGGCUCCCGGCCCCUUCCUUCACCGUCAAAGUCAGCAACGUUGCACGGCUAAUCUUUCAGGGCACCUCCUUCUGAGAUGACCUUGGAUCCUGGGGCACUCCGGCUCAAAGAUAGAAUGCACGCCUACAUGUACAUAUGCGCGCGCGCACACACACACACACACACACACACACACACACACACACACACCAUCCAUCCCAGCCUCCUGGGGUCAACCAGAACUAGAAUUCAAGCUCCAUGAGGCAAUUUGGGGUUGUAUUCUAGGAGCUUAGAACAGCAACCAGUAUAUGGCAAGCGCUCAAUAAAUAUUUCUGGAAUCAAUGAAUCAGCCAACAAUCAGAAGAAUAAGUUCUUCAGUAGGAAUGGUGUAACCGUAUAAUACUUGAGCCCCAGAGUCAGAUAUAGGGUUCAGUUCCUGCCUAGCUUCUUACGAGAUCUAUGACCCUUUCAGAGAGCCUCAGCGACCCCAUCUCUAGAGUGAGAACAGAGUCACCUGCCUAACAGGACUGCCAUGUGGCUGAGUAGGUCUAGCGGAAGGUCUGGAAUGCCCUAGUGCUCAGGGAGCAGAAGCCAGCACGGUCUCCCUCCCCCCCGGGGGUCACCGUCUUGGACAGGAAAACACAUGUGCAGGCAAACAAGUGCCUAGAACCUCAGAGGUGCUUUUGGGGAGAUGUGUUUGCGUCCAUAGUUGGGAGACAAAGUAGGAAAUGAUCAGCUUCAACAUCAAGGAGGCUACAUAGAUGUGUCCACCCUUGAACCGAAUCUGAAACCAUCAGUAAUUGGCAGAAAGAUGACAGAAGGGAAGGGGCGUUCUGGAAGAGGGACCAGCACGAACAGAGGCCCAAGGGCAUGGAACUGUAAGCAGGUUUAUAGAAAUGGAGUAAAGGGAGUUACGGGGGCACCGGGCAUGGCAGGCAACGGGGCUGGCCUGGAGGAGGGAUAGGUGAGCUGUGGGGGGCCAACCCCACAUGCCGUGCCAAGGGGCUUCGAUGUCCAGAGAUGGCCGUGGAUAGGCUGGAUGGGCCACCAGUGGUGCGUGCACGCACAUCGUCUCCAGCGCUGUGCCUUUUCUCUCCCAUGCAUUCACACAACUGACACACACAUCACACACACAUGCAGGGUUUUAUAAAAACUACACACACACGGGACGUGCACACCCAUUGGACGUACACGCAGUUUACCAGCUAGAAUGACGCAUGCAUUUGGGGCCUGUGGUCGGCACGCCCACACGUCAUAGUCCAGGAACCUCUCCACACUCAGAGGACACGUACUCUAACAAAGGCACGGCUGACCAUGUGGCCAGAUGUGCGCACAGACCCCCGGGGAAGCACCUACACACUGGCCGUGCGCAUGCAGGCUCACGUACGGUCAGGCAAUGCACACGUAGAACACGACACAGGCACGUGAAGAAAAGCGCACCCCCACUGUCCGUGUGUACACGCCGCAACUGACCGCACCCAUCUUCUCACACGGUGACCGGUAUGUCCUCGCUCAAACGCACGCCCGUACGGAACAGGCGCUCACACCAUUUAGACACACACAUGGGCGCGCGUGUCAGCGUGCGGAUCCCUCAUUGCUUUCCGGAAGGUGUCUGGGUUCCAGGGCAAGCACUUGUUCGGCCCGAGGGAAGCCGUGAUCGCUCUCCAAGCCACUGCAGACAGAGCAGCUAAGAGACCUGCUUUUGGAGUUCACAGUUUAUGUCCACCUCUCUCCCCGUGGGGGGGUGGGAGCGUGUCCGUGUUCCCAGCUUCUGUCUCCCGGCCGGCCCCGCCCCGACUGAAGUCCCUGCAGCCCGUGACGGCUGGACGCCGUCCAAAAGCAUUGCUGGGUCUCUUGCAGGAGUUCCCCAUGUACUACUGGCUGCCCGGCCUCCUUUCCUAACUGAGCUGGCGGGGGGCCAGGCCGCCCUGGGGGAGGGGGCAGAGCCGAGCGCUCCGUGGCUCCCUGCACGGCGAGGCCCUCAUCAGCUGCUCUCCCCGGGGCCCUGUUUGGGUGAUGAGCCCAGCCAGUGCUGGAGCUUGGCAGAGAGGGGUCUCGCACGACAUCUGCUUGGCCUCUCUGGGGCUAGUCAAGCACAGCUCCCUCUUCUGCCCGCGCUCAUCACGGAAUUGGGUUCCAAUGAGCUGGAACCUUGCGUUUCGCCCGAAGUUUUGACAAGCCGCUGUUUCCUGGCAGCAGCCGGGAUGGAGCCGUGACCUCCAUCUGGGUUAAUGAGGGGAAGGGCUUCCCGCACACCUGCCACGUUGUCCCGGCUCCCUCGCCCUGCUCCAAGGAGCUAAUAAACAGGGUCACGCCUCCUCCUUCUCCUCCUCCUCGGAGACCAUGUCGUGCCCUCGAUCGCAGCGAGCCUCAGCAUAUGGAGCCCCAGCCCCCUCCCCUUUGUGAGAGGAGGAGAGAACCGUGGGUACCAGUGAAGGCGAGCCCAGGGACAUUGGCAGUGUGAGUCAGAUGUUAUCCACAGCCCUCACUCCUAGCACAUUUAGUUAAAAUUAGUCCAAACCCGAAUUCCACGGAUUUUCAAAAACCCAGAGUUGUCCCCGCAGUUUACUGCGAAUUCCCCCAAGAGCUAUCGCCUCCUAUUUCUGCCAGCUUCUGAGCUCACGUGGCUUGUCACCCUCAUCCAGCUGAACAAGAAGCGUGUAUCUUAAAGGGAUUUCUGAAAGAAAGCCACUCAUCUGAAACACUCCGGGCGCGGGGCCUUUACUGAAAGGUUGAUGAUCCCAGGACUGGAUGGGUCACAGGGGCACACGGACGGCUUUAGGACACCACGCCAGCAGUAACCCCACGCUUCUUCCCUUCCUUCUUCCUUCCUUCUCUGGAGUGACACACAAGCCUGUCCCCAGCUCCCUCGGCCUGCUCCCAUUCAGGCCCAAGAAGAUCGGUUCCCUCCCCGAUCCCCAAACAGACCGAUUUGAAUAUUCUUCUCUCCUAAGAGUGGGUGUCUGUUCAUAAGAAAUUCUCAAUACAGCUGCCGAGAGAGGAAAAUAUUCCCCCGUGGCAUUACAUAAUAAAGCUGUGUGUUGGGCAGAGAAAUUCCUCCAACAAAGGUGAAUAAACAUCACAGAAGUGAGCUCCCGGAGGGAGAGCUCUUUCAACAUGAGGGAGAUGCCUGACCGCCACCCAGCUAACGGAAGAGAGAUGACGGGAAGGAGGUGUCCAGCCUGACUCUCCUUUUAGCCAAGCAAUGGUGAGGCCACUAAAACUCCGUCAGAAGCAGGGGCCCCUUAUCGGGCCCCAGGAAAGGUCUCUCCGGCCAGGGCCUGGGUCUUUGUUCCAGGCUGACAACAGAGGUCUGACCUUCAAGCAUCCACCCCCUCCCCCAAGCCGCUGUGGUUUCUCCGGGCCAAGAGGGGAAGAAGGGGCAGGAGCAGGUUAUAGGGCUCCACCAAAGAGCUGACUGGUGGCCAUUCAUACGCAGGAGGGCUUCCUUUCAACAAAGUCUGUUUGUUUCCCCCAAGAGCCCUGGGGACUCUGUGCCAAGACAGAAUGACUCACUGGCUCCCAGGCCUUGCCUCCCCCUGGGAGACGCUCGGGCAGGGCUCUUCCCCCAGCAGAGCGCAGGAGAGCAGCUUCCAUGAGGCUCCAAGUGGAUGUGGUCUCUACAGAGCGAGCUUGGUUGGAAGUGCGGCCCAGAGAAGGCUCCAGUGAGGCCUUCAGGCCUCACUGCUAGUACGGAAUUCCCCAUCCCUGCUUGCUGGCUUCCUUUGACAGUUCAAAUGUCAUCACUUAAAAUUUUUUCUUAUUUAUUUUUGAGAGAGAGAGCACAAGUCGGAGAGGGACAGAGAGAGAGAGUAAGAGAGAGAAUCCCAAGCACAAGCUGUCAGCACAGAGCCCAACACGGGGCUUGAACCCACGAACCGUGAGAUCGUGACCUGAGCCGAAAUCAAGGGUCAGGCGCUUACCCGACUGAGCCACCCAGGCGCCCCAAAUAUCAUCACUUUAAACGGGAGUCUUCUCUCCCGUCUGUGAGCCCACGCCACUGGAGAUGUCUGGGAGUCGCGGCCAACCUUGGAUGCAAACGUGUGGAUCCUCAUGCUGGAUGGUUUGAAAAUCGUCCUUCUUAACAUUCGAGAAGCUUUCAGAAAAGCUUUGUCAAUGACAGAAGAAGUUUCUUUACAUCAGUCAAAAUCAAUUAUAGACACCAGUAAGAUGUUUUCAUUGAUGGAAAGCUGGACAAAAUCCAGCCGGUUGGGCCGACUCAAGUUCAAAGUCAUUGUCUUUUAAAUUAAGACUAUACAGUACCUGCUAGUGACCCACAGGAUAGCCAGAGGGAUUAAAUGUGAAAUAGUCACUCCCAAGAGGAGGGGAUUGUUCCAGACCAAGCCAUAUGCAUACAUGCUCAGGACAUUCAAACUCCAUCUGACUUCACCCUCGUAUCCCCGUCUCCAGGCCCCGGGAAGUGUUGGUGUAUUUAUACCCAUUCUGAGAAAACUAAGGCCUGGAGAGAUUAAGCUGCCCAAGUCCACACGGUGAAUGAAUAUCAUAUAACUCGACACAUUAAUAGGGCAAUAGGAUAGCAAAAGGAGGUGCUCAGGCAACCUACAGACCGAGAAAUGUUUUAGUGGCUUUUGAGCACCUUAGAAGCCCAAGUAUGAAUCAGCAUUGGGUAUACUCAUUGUAAACCAGGUUUAUCUAUUGAUGAAAAACGAGUUCUGAAUGUCUUCAACCAUACUUGCCCCCAGGCAAGUUGUUUCCUAAAACAGGGAGUUAUCAACCUGCCUUGGUUGGUUUUUCUCACCUUCCCACCAAGGGAGAUGUCACCUCUUCCUUCGACAUUCGGCAUUCCCUUUGGGUCAUUCAUUCUGUUGGGGCUAAAACUGGUUAGUAACAGGGACGCAGAACUUAAAGCCUAGGACAGGUUUUUCGACGUCAGCACUGUUGAUGUGGGGAGCUACGUCCUUCUUUGUUGGGGGACCUGCCUGAUGCAUUCUAGGAUGUUCAACAGCAUCCCUGGCCUCAACCCACUGGAUGCUAGUAGCAUCCCCAAGUUGUGACCACCAAAAAUGUGUCCAGCCCUCGCCCCUGGGAGCAGAGCCAUGCCCGUAGAGAAUCAAAGCUCCAGAAUUGCCCCUGGGAGCAGAGCGGCGUCUGUAGAGAAUCCGCGUUCCAGAAGACAAGUCACUCAAACACUCAUAGCUGUCGGUGCAGGAGGCUCGAAUGACCACCCCCGAACCUGAUUUUCUUGACAGAGGUGACAUCUAAGUGAAAAUACUGCGGAUCUUGGUAGGGCGAGGCAGGAAAGCCCAUCGGUGGGUGAAGGAGAUGGGCUUCGGAAACAUAUUUCCGAAGCAGAGGGAACAGCGUGACCCAAGGCAUGGAGGGAAACGUGACCCUGAUUUGAAGCCUGUGUUGUUCAACAUUCACAUCAGAGCUCUGCCUACAGACGAAAGGCAGCGUUGUCCGUGUGCAUUUCACACGAUGCAGGGAGAAAUGGCAGAAUCUAUGUUCCAGAAGGUUUAGACAAGUUAGAUCCGUGGCCCAGCAUUAUGAUGCACCACCAGGAACAAAGGCAAGUUCCUGCAUUAUGGUUCAAAAACAAACCCCAGCCAUUACAAUGGGAAAUCUGGCUCAUAGGCAGAAGAUUGUAGAAGGUGUUGGGUCUAAACCAGUAUAGUUCACACUCAUUCAUGCAUGAGAAUCCCCUGGAAGGCUUGUUAAAGCACAGAUUGCUGGGCCCCACCCCCCUCCCCCCCCCCAGAGUUUGUCAUUCAGGAUCUGGGUCCUGGGUGGAGCCAGAGAAUUUGCAUUUCAAACUGGUUCUCAGGUGAUGCUGAUGCUGCUGGUCUGGGGAUUCUCCUUUGAGAACCACUGGUAGAAGCCUCAGUUUCCAAAGAUGGUAAUAGCAGAGGGGUCAAAUUAAUAGAAAUAUGGUGUCUAGUGUGGGGAGGUGAGAACCUCGGUGCCCCAACUACCGAUAGGAGGCCAGGGAGAAGGCUGAGCACCGUAUUUUAAGAGGAUCUCUGGGAAACUGGAAGGUGUCCAGAGAAAAGUGAGGCAAGCAGGUUAUGAAAAGUGAUUGUUGAACAGGGAGUGUUUGGCCUAGAAGAGAGGAGUUAUGGGAAGAAUCUGGGGGCUGCUUCGGAGAGAGAGGGGCUGUACUGUGAAGGAUGAUUUGACCCACAUCUUCUUCCCACACCGUCAACCCCAUUAGUUCAAGAUAAAGAAAACCAGGGUGGGAGUGUCCAAUGCAGAGUUUCUGGUUAGCCUAACGUGGAAUCUCUUGGCAAUUCCACAUUUAGGGCAGCAUGGUCCAGUAGAAAUGUAAUGUGACCCAUAUAUAUGGUUUAAAAUUGUCCUUGCAGCCAUAAUACAAAAAGUAAAAAAAAAUAAAAUAAAGAAAUGGGUGAAGGUGAUUUUAAUAAUACUUUUUUAUUCAACCUAAUAUUUCCAAAAUAUUUUUACUUGGACACGUAAUGAAUGCAAAAAUGUUUAGUGAGAUAGUUUACACUCUCUUGCUCGUCCCGUGUUCUAAACCCAGGGUGCGUUUUGCGCACACGGCUCAUUUCCGUUCCAUUCGAAUGAGCCGGAGACGAAAUGCUCCUUCCCCACGUGGGACUCGUGGCUCCCACACUGGACGGCUCAGCCCUAGUGAGCCAUGAGUCGGUCACAGUGGAGUGAACGGUUCCUAAUUUGAAUCCGUUUCUCUGCCUUCUGACUGUCUUUUGGAUUUAAUAACGUUUGCAUCCCACUCCUACGUUCCUAUUUUAAAGGAAAGUGAACUCACAAGUGUUUCUGUAUAUUUUGAGAAUGUCAUAACGUGCUCUCAGUCGUCUGCAGGCAGCCUGAGGAGCCCUAAAUAGAGGCGGUGUCGGGACUCUUGCUCAUAAGUGGCAGGAGACUCAAUGCAAUCUGGGUUAAGAACAUACCGAAACAACGUACUGGCUUACAUUUUGAAAAGUUCAGUGGUGAUGCUGGCUUUUGGCGUGCCCGGAUCCAGAUAUUAUCAACAUUGUCACCAGGAACUGGUUCCUACUGGUCCCCGAUUCACUCACUCCUGUGUUGCCUUCAUCCUUUGCAUGGAUCCCCCUGAGGUAGAAAUACGGCCACUGGAAACUCCAGUCUUAAAUCAUCUUUGCCGUAAACUUUCCCUACAGAAUGAGCUUCUUCUUUUCCAAUCGUUCUCAAUAGUUCUGGACGGGAAGCUUUCUUGGCUUGAAUUGGUAGCGUGCUAGCUCAUCCCAGAACCCAACACUGCGGAAAGGUAUUUGGUCAGGGCCAUCACCUCUGGAACCAGGAACCUAGGGAGUCUGCCCCGAGCAAAGUUCAAGAGUGGGAGAUGGGGGUGGGAUCCCCAGAGAAAAGAGAAGUGUUUGAUGGACACAAAUAGCAGACGUCCACCAGAGAUGGACAGACCAAAGGAUAGAGACCAACGGGCCAUUUUGUCCCGGCUGAUGAAAAUUGCCUUUCAGAAGGGUCCACCUUUUCUUUACUGUGAAGGCACAGCUUGGGAUUUGAUAGAUGAGGAGCUCAGUUUCAGACAGCGAUCUCAAGUGUUGGGGCCACCAUGUGAGACUUGCUUUGCUUUUCACCAAUCUACUUUAAGAAGCCUUGUCCUGUGUGGCUGAAUUGAGAAAUCAGAAGCCUGAGGAGUUGAAAGAAUAAAUCGACAUUUACACAUUCCCAGAAAAUUUGGAAGAGUGAAACUCGGCGAAACAAAAGCUAGAGUCUGUUCUUUUCCUUCCGUCCCCCAAACAAUGAACUUUCCACCAAGAUGGCGACUGAGCUCACAUCAGAAGUGUCUGGGGUCAAAGAUGUGAAAAAGCUCACAAGGCUCACAGUCUAACUUCUUUGGAUUCCUGAACAUCCCAAACACAAUAUGCCUGCCAUCCAGAAACCUGCAGCCCUCGCUCACGGACAUUCUGUUUUUUGCCAGUUACUCGUUCCACCCUACCCGCUAAUUUUCUGCCCAGUGGAGCUCAAUUUCCCCAAAGCUAUGUACUUCCUCUGCUCACAUGUUCCUAAGAGGUUCCCAAAUUCAGCUGAGCCUGAAAUCUUUACAUGUGCAAUGAGUUUGGGAAAAAACAGAGGACUACAAAACUUUACCAAGCCACGGGACUUUUAGGGACACAGUAUCUUUUGUGAUAUAAAAUAGGAUUCUUUAUCUCAAACUGAGGUUUAUUUGUAAGAAACAAUGGCCAGAAAAUACUAGUUACUACGUGGCAGGCUUUCCCUGAAAGAUACCAAACACUUUAUUUGUCUAAUUUGCAGACUGCAAAUCAUCCUUCAAGGACCCACCCCACCCCGAAACUUUGCUGACUCUUUUCCAAGAGUCCUCUGUGCACUCUGGUUCUACCACGCACUUCAAUCAUUGUUCUGACCCCAGACUCUGAGGCAAUACGGCUUAAUGGAGUUAGACUGUCCUAGAAUCAAAUCUUAGCUCUGGCAUUUCUUAGCCAUGUAUCUAGAAAGUUCUGAAGCUUGUCUGGGUCUCAUCUUCUUCAUCUAUAAAAAAAAUCAGGGGCUCCUGGGUGGCUCAGUCGUUUGAGCACUCGACUUUUGGUUUUGGCUCAGGUCAUGAUCUCACAGUUGCAU